UCCGGGGUCGUCUAGUGGUAGGACGCUAGGUUCUGGCCCUAGUAACCGGGGUUCGAAUCCCUGCCCCGGAG
rnacentral:tRNA from 1 species